UGAACGAGGAAUAGAUUUUAUUCGAGUUAGAAAUCACUGAUGAAAUGGCUUUCGACUCCGAUAUAGGAGGCGACUCUGAUGCAGAAGACACAGUGCAUCAUGUUCAUCAAGUACAUCAAAUUUAUCCUUAGAAGGCAUAGAAUAUCUUCAACCAAAUUUAGAUACAGAAACAAUAUCAAUUAAUUCAAAUACAGUUACAGGUCAAAAAAGAUCAUUAAGAUCUCAAUAAAGAUCACUACAAUUUGAAAAUACAAGACUUGAUUCUAAAAGUGCUUCUACAUCUCCAUUUUCAGAUUUAAUUCAAUCACCACUCAUACAUUCACCAACAAAUGUACAACUAAUUAUACAGAUUGGGAUGAUUUUGAUGUUACUGACAAUAUAGCUACUGACGAAACGUUUUUACCAGUAAGGUUGUCAUCGCAGGUCAAUGAUUAUGAAUCUACUGACAACGAAAUUGAAGAUGAAGAGCUUAACUUUAAUUUUUGUAAAACUGGUAAAGAACCUGAAAAGUUUAAUAGUUCUUCAAGAAACACAAGGUUUCUAACACAAGGUCCUAUUGAUCCAUUUUUAUUCAAAAAAUCAGUCCUUGAUAUUUGGGAAUCUAUAUUUUCUCCCGUAAUAGACAUUAUAGUUGAAGAAUCUAAUUUGUUUGACUCUCAAAAACAUGCAGUUUUAGACACCACUCCUGAAGAAAUUCGUGUAUUUAUUGGAAUACUUAUAUUUUUGGGCUUUCAUAAUGUACCUAAUAUUCGAUUGUAUUGGUCUACAAAUCAUAAUUUUUUCUGUCCUAGAAUAGCAAAUG